UUAUUAGGUUAUAAUAAGACAUUACGUUUAUGACUACUAUGUUUGUGUAAAGGGCGAACCUGACAAAAGUCAAGGCUCUACAGUGCACAGGUGUGUGGAUAUAGGCAGGGUCUAGUCUUUCGACGUCGACCACCACCCAGUUUAUUCUCUAAUGAUCCUUCCGCAGGUUCACCUACGGAAA
rnacentral:misc_RNA from 1 species